AUCCGGAUCUGAUUGAAGCAAGAGCCUGAACUGAGCAUACAGCAUUGCCUGCCAGUGUCGGCCCUGUCUUGACUGAACAGAUAGCUGUACUGAAUAGGUUUGGAGUCCCCCUAUCAGUGGCACAGAUGAUUCUCUUUUUGCAUAUGCUUAAAUGGCUAACAGGUGAUCAGGCUGUCAACUGAAACCAAAAGCUGGAAAUUCACUGUCUGUUGAAAAUGAUGGUGAAAUGUCUUGGAGCCGAUGUGGAGACAAAAUCUUGGCUGCACCGAAACUUGUAAUUAAUAAAUACUGCUGAGCUGGUCAAUACUGUAUUGAUGUUUGCAACAAUGGGAUAACCAAGUGUUUGUCUUAGUGUACUGAUACAAAUAUAUUAUUAAAGAUUCAAAUCUGGUUAUGA